CUACAGGACUUGAGCAGCUAGAGGAAGAUCAUCCAGGGGCUGUGAAGUCUUCCUUGGGAAGUUCUGAAGGGAUUUCUCACAAUGCAUUUUCCACUACAAACUGCUCAAACAAUUCAGAGUCCCAUCUCUUACAGUUCCUCUUCUCCACAGAGCAAGAUUUUGCUAUUCUGGAGUAGUAUUUUGUUCUAAAAGAUGUUGUCCCUGUUCCAUGAGAGAGGACGAGGAAACCAGAAUCACAUGUCAAAAUGUCAGUUUAUGUGGCAGAUGCCUUCUCAUCUAAAGACCUCUCCUUGCUCCUGACAUUGUAUUGUACCUCAGCACCAUAAACCCAUGAAAGCAUACAUCUAAAGAAAAUUGAUUUGUGUUUCAUUCAAUCUACUCAUAAAUCAACAGAAGUGCUAUCAUAGCAAAGCUUUACAAACGGAGCAGCUCUACAAACUGAGUAUAACAACAAAUAAAAGGAAACAAAGCAAAGCAAAACUACAAACGUGGAGUCACCAGUUUCUCAGUCUCCUCUGGAUAUGGGACACAAAGGCUAAAGUCAAGGGUGAGCUGAGCUGUGUGUAUUCUUUCUGUAGGGUGUAGAGACAGCAGCUAAGAGGUGAUUAAGGAUGGCUUUUCUACAACUGAGAUCUUAGUGUCUUCCUUGCUACCAUGACCACCACCACCACCCACAACAGCAACAACAAAACAAACAACAAUAAAACCCUUCCUUUCUUCCUCAAGAUUGUCUAUUUCCUUCCUGUAUUUUCAAUAAGUCUAUGUACCUUGUUCCACAAGUCUCAGAGCUGGCAGUACACCAAGUCAAGACUAUUUAGAAUCUCUUAUUUAUUGGAAGGCAUAUACUUGUGCAGCUCACAAGACUUAAUUACAGGAGUUGUUUCUUUCUCAUUCUACCACACAGGUAUCAGGGACUAAACUGAGGCUACCAGGCUUGGGACAGGUGUCUUUACCAACUGAGCCAUCUUAAUGGCCCAAGAUUUCUUUUGUUUACUUUCUUUAGGAAGGAGCAUCAAGAAUCCCAGACCAUGCCUGAUUUAGAUUUCAAGAAUGCUAGGCUAGGACUCACAUAUCUGAUCUACAUUCCAGGAUAUUGUUUGUUCUUUGAUUACGUGGCAUUCGGCUAGAAAUUUAUGUUCAAAUGCUGAAUAUAACUUUACCAAAUUAUUCCAGAGCCCCUUUAUGUUCCUACUACUCUUUUAUAAUAGAAUAUAUGGAAUUAUAGAACACAAAUUAGGAGCAAAUAUAUAAUUAUUAAAUGUUUAUUUACUGCAUCUGUGAGCUAGGUUAGGUUAGGUUGCUUAUCAUCUUGAUUCAUAAGUUCCUCUGACAGACCCCUGACAGACCCAUAACAUACACUCUAAAGAUCCACUUGAUUAUUCUGUGUCUGUGUCUCUGUGUCUCUGUGUCUCUGUCUCAAUCUCUCUCCCUCUCCCUCCCUCUCCCUCCCUCCGUCUCCCUCCCUCUCCCUUUCUCCCUCUCCCUCUCUCCCUCUCGCCUUCCCCCCAUUCCUCCUAUUUCCAGUCUUACAUUCUUUCUAGGAAAAUUCUGUAGCUACAUUUAAAAGACUGAGUUAAAUGUGGGACCCAGAUUCUCAUCCUCAGAGGGUGUUAAUAACCAUUUAUUAAUGAAGCUUUGAAAAUGAUGGUGUAAAGAAAAUAUUAGGGUAAACUCGAAGCCUUGCAAUUCCCCACUCGUUUCUAUAAUUAGAUGUUUUCUCUGAAUGCAGUAAUGCGUUUUUGUAAAUGACUUGUGAAUAUCAACUAAUCCUGUUUUAAUUAGAGCAAAUAAAACUGAUGAAGAAAGUUUCAAAGUCCAAUGUUAAAUUCUUUUCAAGUAUAACGUGCAGUAAAAGUUAUUUUGUUGAGUGCAAAAGAACUAACGGUAAUGAUUCAUGGAUAUUAUGACAGGAGAAUGGCUGUUUGAAAAGCAGAAGAAAAUACAUAUGCUUAAGCACUAAAUAAUUUUCUUUGGGUAUAUGUAUAAAGUUAAACUCCAAAAGUUGAAACUCAAACACUAAUACUUGAAUUGAUUUACAAAACAUAAUAUUUUGACGCUCUCAGCUUGACCAACCUUCAGAGACAGUACCCCCACCCUCCACUUUCUCUGGUUUUAAAACACCUGCAUUCCCAAAGGCAGUUCAUGAUUCUCAGGAGCUCUUUGACAUGUAAAUCUUUUCAAAAGGCUCUUGUCUGUAUUCUAAGAAAGGACUGGCUUUUCUGGGGACCUACCAGCCAGGCCUUUGAAAUUCAAUCAAGAAUCUCCCAGGCUAUGGAAGCAGGUAUUGAGUGGGUCCAUUGCUCCAAGUUGUAAAGAUAACUCAGGCCUUGAAGAUAGAAGAAACUGACUGUUCCUCUGAGGAACCAGAGCAAAUUCACAUGGCAUUUGGCUUCGAAACUUCAACUGUUAAAAUACUCCAAGUGUUGGCUAGACGUGAGCUCACAGUAAGUUCUAUGAGCAUUUUUCUUUUUUCUUUAUUUAUUUCUCCUUUUUUUUCAGUGAAUCUGAAGAUAUUUCUCCUUCUUAGAGACCAUUUGCUUAUUUGUAACAAAAGAUUGACAUUUCUGGUUACUGUGUUAGACUUCCUGCAUGUCUGAGUCUGUGUCUUUGAAAUAAUUCAAAAGGAAAAUGAUAAAUACUUUGAUAAGAAACAGAAAUUGCCUUGCAUUCUAAUACAACCAGAGAACAAUGUGCACUUAACCUAGCUCCUCUCUGGACUGCAGAUACACAAGGUAGUUUUACACAGCAAAUCUCUCUUCAGAGUGGGAAGCCUACUGUCUUGCUCUCAAGUGUCCCUGUUUGAGUCAAUACUCAUGUUGGUCUUUUCAGAAGGAGGCAAUUCAGAAGAAUUCCUCUAAAACUUUCUUCUACUCAGGGAAACACUUUGUAUCCGUGGAGGUCAACAAAGCACCCUACAUUCUCACAUUAAAAAAGCUACUAAAAUGUAGCAUGCAAUUUUCUUUCAAACUAGAAUAGAUCAUUGGCUUUAAAUGAUUCUUUACAUAUGGGGAUUUAUGCAUGUAAGAUCACAAAUGAAUGCUUUGCAUACAUAUUUUAUACUUUUCAUUCAUAGAGACAUAUUAAGUGUUCAUGAUAAUUUCACCUCAUAUCCUUAGCAAGCAAAAAUGACUAAUUUUGUUUGCAGGAACCAUUCAUCCAUUCAUGUCCUGUGUGUUCUAAGAAUACCAAGUAUUCCCCCCCCCCCCCGCCCCGGCUCUCCCUCUCCCUAAUCCCCUACCAGUUUGUUUAGUUGUGGUCAUUGCAAUUUAGUUUAUAUUCUCUGUUUCUUAAACAUUUAGACAAGAUUUAUAAUUCAUAAUUUCUGCAAGCCAUUUAUAUUUUAACCAAUCGCAUUAACAUAUUUUCUCAAACACCUCCUUUGUGUUGGAAGGUAAGAAGCAGUUUUGACAUGACCCAGAUGUGCAUUAAAAUUCAAGUUGUAACACUAGCGUGCUGAUUUUCUCAGACACGAAUUAAAGCAAAAAAAUUCAUAAAUCUUACAGUGUUUAUGAAAUUAAUUGGGUAACAUAUGUGACAGUCUAGCAUAUCUUCUAACACAUUCGGAAAACUUGACAUGCUAAGUUUGUUUUUCUAAAUGGUUUUUUUUUUUUUGACAUUUGAUAUUCCUUUCUUAUAGCCAUAAGUAUAAAGAAGAUCAAAGUCAUCAGCAUAAGGUGUUACUUUAUUUAUACUUACACACAUGUUAUAGAAAACUCUAUGAAGCCUUUUCCUAAUUAUAAGCAUUUAAACUUGGAAUGACAGUUGUCUGAAUAAUUCCUGUACAUGUUAAGUUAGUAAUUCUAAACUUAGGACAAUUAUAUACAUUACAUGACAAGUAAUUGCAUGUGCAGAGAGAUUUGAUUGUUACACAGCAGGACAGAAGUUUUCAAAAGUGUGUGAAGAAUACGCACAAUGGCACAUACUCUACAUUCUCCUGCAACUCAGUAACCCGCAGCUUAUUUCUUGCCAAAAGCCUGUGUUUGAAUGAUCCUGUCCUAAGCGCUGCUCCUAGCAUUCAUAGUUUCAAUAUGAGCAUCUUCAUAGUAAAAGGACAAAAAGAAAGAAUUUUGAGAAUUUCUAUUUUCUCAAGAGCACUUGCAGAAAAUGUAUUUAUUUAAAAAAUGGUUUAUCGAUAAAUGCCUUCAUAAAGGCAUUUGUUAAAGAAAGAUACAAUACAGAUGAAUAUCUAUUUUAUCCACUUCAUCAUAAACCGAAAAGUAUUUAAAGUUAAUUGAAGAGAAUGACCUCCAUUAUCAGUGUUACCCAGUACCCAUCACAUCAAUAAGUUGGAGAUAGCCUGAACAAAACAACACUCCCAGAUCAAAAGCCCAUUAAAGACUGAGGGAUACUUUGGAUUAAGUUAAUUGCAACCCAGGAGGAAUGACGUUAGCCAAUAUUGUUCUGUAUAAUCUAAUUAAAGAAAGCCAGGUAAAGUCAAAAGCCAUUGGGGAGCUUUAUCGGGUUUCACCAACUCACAAGCUCAACAUAUUUGAUGAAAUACAGGGUGUUUACUAAGAACAGCUACACAAUACAAAAAUCCAUGAAGAACGCAAUGGACGAGGCAUUUAGCAUGCUGAAAUUCUAGAUUUCCCAGCUUUUACUAGAAAAAAAUUAUUAACCUAUCUAUUCUUUGUUUUCUGCAUUUGCUAUUCAUAGGUUUUUGUUUUCUAUUCACUUUAUAUCCUGAUUAUUGCUGCCCCCAUUCCAGUCAUUCCCUCUCAUAAUCUCUCCUCAAUGACUCUUUCCCUUACCCCUUCUCUGAGAGGGCAGACAUCUUCUACUUGGAAUCUCCAGAGUAGGAUUCUACUACCUUUACCCAAAGGCAUAUGCCUUACUUGGCAAUACUGGAUGUCCAUGAUCAUAUAGGGAAAAAGCAGGGAGUCAGCAAACCAAAAGAUAUGACUCUCUAAAUUAGUACAAAGAGCACAGAUAUCAAGUUUCCUGCUACUGAGCACUUUGUUGUAUACAGAGGCUAGCGGGAUUUUUUUUACAGAGAAGUUGUUCUUAGUAGAAAAUUGCUAUCCAGUCAAUAUUUCUUUAAAAUAUUGUGUUAUUUAAUCACAUAUAGUAAAAUCUCAUGUGCAGGCUUGUAUUAUGGAGAUAGAGUCGUGGUACUGAUGGGAAGCUCAUAGGAAGCUGGAGAACAUAAUAUUUAGGCUCGACACUUGCUUCACUGACGAUUCUGUCUGAUUAUGUUCUCCCAUGAUUCUUAUGUGUCUUCUAAGAGAUGUUAGGUGCAGAACAGUGAUGAUAUCACAGAACAAGGGCUCCCCAAUGAGUGGGCCUACAAUAAUCUUGAUUCGAGUUUCCACAAUUUCUCCCACUUUAUGAUCUUCAUAAACUGUAAAACAUUAUUAAAAUUUGUGUCAUUGAUAUGUCUGUAAUAGAAUCUUAUACUUGUUCAUUUACAUUACAAUGCAGUGCUGUAUUGCCACGUAAGGCAUAUGCCACUGGACAAAUAUAAUGUCAUCCGACCCUGAAGAUUCCCAGAAGUGAAACGGACCUUACAUGUCAGACAUGGGAACUAAAUCUACCACUUUCUGAACCUUGUAAGUGGGAGAACAUGAAUAAGGUUUGAGAUGCACUCCUAACAUCUCUAAUUGCAGGCUAGCAUCAUCACGUUGUUAUUAGCUAAAACAAAGGAAGCAUGACAAUUAAACUAUGUGGAGCUUCAUAAAGCAAAGAGGACAUGAGGAAACUUCUGCAGUUGCCUCUGUCACCUUCUGAAAAUAUGUGGCACAAAAACUGCCGCUGUGCAUCUACUGUGCCUUUGCAUACUCUUCAGACGUCAGCAGAUGUGUAUGAUACAUGCUUAUGUUGAUACCAAGGCACUCUGAGCUAUAGUGUCACAUAGGUAAAGCAGAGUUUAGUUAGUUGUUCUGGGUGUCAUGUUUCUCAUCGACAAAACAAAGUAAGGGCCAAGGAGGCAGCAGACUUGGUAAAGCAUCUGCCAUGCAAGCACGAGAACCCGACUUUACUUUAUACAAUGCACAGAAAACUUAGUGGCAUGAUGGCUGACCCAAAUUUGUAAUCCCUUCCUUGGUAUUCUCUGGCAAUAUUUUGGCCAAUAUAUUUGUACUUUAGAAACAAGGUAGAUAACGCCUGAAAAAUGCGAGCAGGAUGGACCUUUGGCCCCCAUUUGACCACACAUGGUCACAUGUUGAUUCACCCGCGCCCUCAUGCAUCCAUACUUCUGAGCUUCUGAGUGCACCACAGACACUGGAACACACACACGUACGCACAUACACACACACAUACACACAGGCACACACACAAAUACACACAGAGAGACAGACAGACAGAGACAGAGACAGAGAUAGGCAGAGACAGACAGACAGGCAGACAGAGACAAACAGAGACAGAGAUAGAGACAGAGACAGACAGUGACACAGAAAGAAAGAAAGACAGAGUCAGGGACAGAGAUAGAGACAGAAAAAGAGACAGAAAGACAGAGAGAGACAGAGAGAUAGAGAGAAGUGCACUACAUUAUUAACAAAGUUGAAAGUGUACUUAAAACUGUAAUAAGAUUCAAUUAUAAUUUUUCAAAAUUUUUAUAGAUUACCAGUAUUUUCAUAAAUGCAUGAUAAUUAAAUAUUGUUAAACAAACCUUCUUUAUCUAGAGAUUGCCAUAUUCGAAUUGGAUUUUGAAAAAAUGGGAACAAUAUCUACUCACUGAAAGGUUUCUGCUUCCUCACUCUAAAUUUGUAUGUUACUUCCCCAGAUCUUACUAAACUGCUAAGAAGAAAGGAAGAGAAGUGAGUAAAGGGGCCAGUGUGAAAAUCUUGUAUUAGUUAAAAUAUUAGAAAAAGGAACAUGUACACCAAAACAAAGGACAUUACUUGUCAAAUGAGGAAUUUGAAUCUUUUGAUGGUUUUCCUUGGUGGAUUUCUUUAGAACACUGAUUUAGUGUUUUGCAUAGAGUUGCCUUGUCAAUUCUUUGGAAAUGUGUUCAAACUAUCUGCUUUCAUUCAUAUGCAAAUCCCUCUCUUAGAACUACAGAAUGAAAGCUGUUUAAGCCCUGUCUGGUUCUUUCAAGCUAAAAAUUUUAUAGCAUGUCUCUGACCUCAGUGAGUUCUCUGUAUUGUGCCCCUGAUGAACACAUGCCUACAGAAACUUGGCAAGGACAGUUAUUAUCAAGCUGAAAAAGAAGUGCAUAGGAAAAAAAAAGAAAAAGAUGAAUGUUGUCAACGUAAGACAAUAACUAUGCAUAUUUGUUUUAUCCUGUGUACUAUUUUUCAGUUUAUUUAGCAUACAUUUUUCUUAUAUAUUUUAUCCUGUGAAAAUAUAAAAUCAAUUAAGAAAAAAUAUCACAUUGUACUUGUCAAAUAUGAGACAGCAAUAUCUUUAUUUGUCAGGUCACUAAAGACCUUUCAUUAAUUUUUUUUCUCUACCUCUUCCUUCUUUUUUGCGUGAUGCCUGAGGUUUCAUUUAGUGUUCUUGCUAUAAUACACUGAAAACUAGAUGAAGCCGCAAAUUGUAUCUGAGUUGUGCAUCUCCCCGGGCUCUUCCUAUUGUAGAUUGUCAAAAAAAGUUUUUUAUGUACUAGGCAGCUUUCACUAUAUUGCAUUUUGGAAUCCAUUUUGUUGUUUAACAAUGUCUUACUUCCUUGGAGAGUGUAGACCCCUUUUUCAUGUUUCAUAACCAAUUUAAUUUGGGGAAGUGGUGGUUUCACCUGACUGGAUCAUGCAUCAUGAUCCUUCUGUCUCUGGGUUGAUUCUCUUCCCUGACUAGGUUGCACCUUAAAUUGAAGGAGUCAAAGAGUUGUAAGUGGGUAUUUUAACUGGAUUUAUCCUCUCUAGAAGAUAGCCAAAGAACAUGGCCUCCAAAUAUUCAUGCUAUGGAGACUCUGAAAGUCAAGGUACUUCUGACAAAUUGUUUCCAAAUGCUGUAAGCAUAAACCCUGCCAGAAGCAUUAUUUGGUUGACUUAAGUCUUGUUUAAAAAAAUCCAUCAUGUAAAAUAUCAAUUCCUUUACAGCAAAAUCAGAUUCAAAAUUCCAAUUUAAAUCUUGGAAAAGUUCCAGGCACAUUAAAGGAAAAUUAACUUCGUUAUAAGAUGUAGGACAUCCAGAUUUAACUUUUAAAAAUAUUAAAAUCUGUACCUUUUUAUGUCUCUGAAGGAAAAAAAAUUGUUCUUGGUGUAGAAGUCUUCUAUCUGACCACAGACAAAGAAUUAAAACAAGUGGAGAAAGAGAAGGUAUAUAGUUAAACUCCUUCAUUGGGAAGGUACAUUGUCCUAAACAAGUCAUUAGAAAAAAAUUCAAUUGUAUUUUACAUAAGGUAUUUUCAUUUUCAUGAAUUUCAUUAUAUACAAUUCAGUUCCCAAGAGGCACUAAAGAAUAAUAAUGUCUGAUGAUAUGAAGCCUAUGAAAUGUGACCAUAAUAGCCCUAGGCUUUUCACUGCAUCCUAACAGUAGUCUUAAUGCAAUUAUUAUGUCAGUUCUAUAGAUGGUAGCAUAUUCUCUGAGAUGGUAAGAGUCCCAUCAUAUCAACAUUUCUAUUCUCUGAUUAAUUAAGACAGUUGACUCUCCAACCUUGGAUCUUCUUAUGCUACCUCAUUAUGAGUCUACUUGUGAGUUUAGUAAACGUUAAAUAUGUUUUUUUUUUCAAAGCUGUUGAUUGUGGUCACCAAAAUAGCCAUGCUGAUGAGGAUCCAAGCUUGGGUUCCCAGAACUCACAUAGAUGAAGCAAAGAAGUGCAGACCGACAGGAGCCGGAUGUAGAUCGCUCCUAAGAGACACAGCCAGAAUACAGCAAAUACAGAGGCGAAUGCCAGCAGCAAACCACUGAACUGAGAAUAGGUCCCCCGUUGAAGGAAUCAGAGAAAGAACUGGAAGAGCUUGAAGGGGCUCGAGACCCCAAAAGUACAACAAUGUCAAGCAACCAGAGCUUCCAGGGACUAAGCCCCUACCCAAAGACUAUACAUGGACUGACCCUGGACUCUGACCUCAUAGGUAGCAAUGAAUAUCCUAGUAAGAGCACCAGUGAAAGGGGAAGCCCUGGGUCCUGCUAAGACUGAACCCCCAGUGAACUAGACUGGUGGGGGGAGGGCGGCAAUGGGGGGAGGGUUGGGAGGGGAACACCCAUAAGGAAGGGGAGGGGGGAGGGGGAUGUUUGCCCGGAUACCGGGAAAGGGAAUAACACUUG